CACUCAGUCUCAGGGGUCCAACCACACUGCUCCAGCUGUCAGGCUGUCCUGGAAGGAUGCUGCACCCUAAUAUCUGAUAACAGAAACUCAGAGCAGAGCAACAAGAAGAAUGACUGCUUCUUUGGUAAAUACACCCCAGGUUAGUUGCAUGUCCACAUGUCUUUGAAAAUUGUAUGUCUUAUUGAACCCAUUCAAAACUUUAAUUAUCUACAUCUGGUAAUGUUAUCUAAAGUAUUUAUGUUAUGUGACUUAUCUUCAUUUUCAUUUCUGAUAAUCAAAAUGACUAUAGUACUGCCUUGUUCUGGUAUACUUUCCCUCGAUAUUAGAGCAUGAGGACAUAAAUUUCCUUAGACUUAAGGCAUGCAAUUCUGUUAGGGAAUCUAUUGUAGUUGAUACUCAAUGAAUAUAAUGUUGUCCAAUUUUGACAUUGAACAGGCAUGUGUUCUUUUAUAUUAGUGAAGAAGAAAGGUCUUGUCUGCCAUAUAUAUCACAUUUCAGGAGUGAUCAGUUACUUAGAAAAAAGCUUGUGAAUUUGCAUCUGCAUAUACACAGAUACUGACUUCAUUGAGCAAUAUAUGGAAGAAUAGAAUUUAUGAUAUAUUAGUAUUAGAAUUUUGCAUUCCUUGUUUUACUUGUUUUUUUUUUUUCUAGAACAUUUGCAGCAUUGUACGUAGGCCACAGGAUAUCAACUGAGAAGGUCAGAAUAAACUGCGGAAAAGAUUGAGCUAGUGUCCAUAUCUGAACAAGGUUGACAUUGUAGAAUUUUGAAGCAUAGUGUUGCUCAUCAUUACUUGACUAUGUCUGAUGUGACACUUGGAUUUGUUAAUUCAUCAAGGAAUAUUCCUGCACCUAGACCUCAAAUGUGUACAAUAUAUUCUUUAAAAGUUUGCUGAUUGUGAGACAAUUUUGUUAUCCUGUUUCAUGCUACACACACUCCAGUGAAGUUUUCUUGGCAGGCUGAGAGGCCUGGGACCACUCACGAGACAAAGAGUUUCAGAAUAACUCACCUCCUGGAACCUUGGCAUUCUCAUAACCCAUAUACUCAUACCCUAUCCCCGAGUUAGUCUGGUAUAUGGAUCCACGUGCUCUUUUAGUAUUAUUUUAUUAUAAGUGCCUUUUAAGACUGAAUUCUGACAUAGCUAAGCCUUCGCCAGUAUUCCAAUGUCCCAGAAAAUCCUUGAAGCCGACAAACUUGGAAUUUAGUAAGAAGGUUACCUAUUCAGUCACAUUCAAAUUUACGUCUACUAGAGACAGUGAAACUAAUUAGGCAUUACAAAGAUUGGAGCCGGAAUAGCUCAGGGCAUGUCUGCUAAUAGCUUAGGAGAGUAGCCAGUCUUACCCAAACAAGGGAAUACACAAUGACUGAGCUAAUAGUUGCGUUUACCAAGUAAGAGUUGGGGAAUCCCACUGAGAUAAGAAUCUUCAGUACAGCCAGGAAUAGCAGGCUACAUUGCAUAUUAGAAGCAAAUUGGUGAAUUCUUCUGACAUAUGGAGAUUCGCCGCAGAUACUUAAAAGAACAGCCAAGUUACACUCAUACAAGAAUUUAUCAAGGCCUAGGAAAUAGGGGGUUUGUGGUAUUGCAUUAUUCAUGAGAAGGUCUGCUAGAGCAGAACCCCCUGGUGCUAGCUUUCACAAGGCUCACAGGAGUAGCACAAAUUGUGACUAGGGUGUGAAAUCCUUACCUGUCAUUAGCUGACCCUAAGCAGAGCUGUUUUAUCUUUACUGUAAAUAUUACCUGGUUCCUGUAAGUCCUUUUGAAGUCAUUCCUUUGUUUUGUGUCAGGUAACUUCAAUGUACUUUGCCUGCUGUGACAUCUUACCUCUUUGUUUUCUGUAUUAUAUAAGACUGGUGUUCACUUUGUGACAAUACAUUCAGAUUCUACACAAUCUCCUGUGUUGCCCCUGUCUGUCAUUCAUUCAUUACAGGUGGACUCCUUGUCCACCUGUAACCAGAGACCCAUUCUACGCAGACAAGGGACCAAGAGGGUCUGCGGCAGUUUCACAGAGUGAAAAUACACAAAAGACUAUGACUAGAUUAGGAAACAUCUCUUAAUGAAAUUAAACUUCAAUUUUGUUUUAUGUAUUUUGGUACAUUUUCCUGACUCAAUGCAUAUGUGCUUUGUAUUCUUCUCACAUGUUGAAAGAAGAGAGCAUUAGGUCUCAUAGAAUUAGAUCUCAUAUUCUGUUUUAUAUGGCCAUGAUGGUUCUGGCCAGAAAAUUACAUAUUAGAGGACUUUAAAAGACAUUAUAAAAUCCAAAGUGCAAACAAAAUGUUCAAAUGCAUUGAUGGAGGCAAAUCUGUUCUCUGUCUGUUGCUCAGUUUUAGAAAAUAUCAGCAAGCCCUAAAGAGCAGAGAUGUGAAUAUGUGCACUAUACUAUUUCAUUCUGUAUGUUUCCUAUAGAAGAUGCCUAACUUCUGACACAACACUAUGGCCCUUCUAGAAAACUUUUGUCCUUUAAUAUUUGCCAUGAGUCUUCCAUAUCAUAUAUCUUAUUCUUUGUGUCUUUCGUAAGUAGGAAGACAUUUUUGCCCAACAUCACAUGAUAAAUUGGUAAUUUUCUAUUACAGUGUUUGUUAACAUUCAGGGAUGUGGCUGUGGAGUUCUCAGUGGAAGAGUGGGAAUGUCUGAACUGUUCUCAGAGGGCACUGUAUACAGAUGUGAUGAUGGAGAGUUACAGUAAUCUAUUCCUUUUGGGUGAGAAUACUCUUCCUGUACAAAUUAAUUCUGUUAAUUUACAUAUCUUUUGUAAAUGGAAACUCUGAAGUGUCUAGAGACUUACGGAAUAAAGAAUAAUAACCAGUACUGUAUACUGUAUAGUCUCUCUUUUUACCUAGUUUUCCAUCAAAACUUUAAAGUUCAAAGAAUAUUGCACCUUUAUAGAAAGGAAGUAUAUUGUUUUAUACAUAACAAUUGGAAUCUGAAAAUGUUGCUAUUGCAUUCCAUUGUUCACCCAUUUCUGAAUUUUAAAAUGCAAAUUAUUUUAAAUAGAGCAGCAUCUGUUUUGUGAGACUUUUGUUUUUAGUGUAUUUAUUUACUUUUUGGCAUGUGCUCUCUGUGUUUAUUCCUGUUACACCAUGACUUUUUCUUAGCACGUUUUAAGUAGAAGUAAUUAUAUAUGGUGAGUUCCAUGCCAUUGUGGAUUACAUAAUAAAUUCCUGGCUGAUCUUGUUAAUAUGAUCAUUCACAUAGUUUCUAUCUCAAAAUUAUUUUUGCUUGAUCACCUCUUUUUCCUACCUUCUGUAAGAGACAGUGUUUAAAUAAAUAUUAGAAGGCUCUCAUUUUUCAGUCAUUUAAUACAGAUUAAAUUUGAAGUUCUUCUGAGCAUCCAUUUAAUGUUUGUGAAACAGAAAAGAUAUUUUUCCUUUAGAAUGGCUAAUUUAUAUUAUUGAAUCUCUUACUCAUGUAUUAAUCUCUUUUUUCCCUAAUUGUACUUUUUUCCCCAGAGAAUUUUCUUAAAUGUGAGGAGGUGUUGGAUCAAGGCACAAAGCAUAUUGCCCACAAGCAUGUGAGUAUACAAGAAAAGUCUUACAAAUAUAAUGAGCAUGAUUACAUGAAUCCUCCCAAGUUACAUCUUCCAGAACUGAACAUAAAGAUGAGUCUGUCAAAAUAUCGAACCUAAACAGAAAAAAAAAAAAAAAGUUGGGAAGACUGGUAUAGCUGUCUGAUGAGAGGUUCUGACAGUUCCUGACAAAUACAGAGGUGAAUACUAGUCGCCAGCCAUUGGACUGAGCACAGGGUCCCCAAUGGAAGAGCUAGAAAAAGGGCCCAAGGAGCUGAAGGGGUUUGUAGCCCCAUAGGAGGAACAACAAUAUGAACAAACCAGUACCCCCAGUGCUCCCAGGGACUAAACCACCAACCAAAGAGUACAAUUGAGGGGCCCAUGACUCCAGCUGUAUAUGUAGCAGAGGAUGGGCUUAUUGGACAUCAGUGGGAGGAAAGGACCUUGGUCCUGUGAAGGCUCUUUGCCCCAGUGUAGGGGAAGGCCUGGACAUGGAAGCAGAAGUGGAUAGGUUGGUGAGCUGGGUGGGGGGCUUGGGAUAGGGGAUUUUUCACAGGGGAAACUAGGAAAGGGGAUAACUUUUGAAAUGUAAAUAAAGAAAAUAUCUAAUAAAAAGGUAAAAAAAAAAGGAUCAGAUAUCAUUUCUGUUCUUCUACCAUGAUUUUUGGUUGCACAUAUAAGAAUCUCAUAUGAUUUCUCAUUGUUUUUCAAAAAUAUAUAACAUAAGGUUAUAUACUUGCUCCAUAGUGAAUGUGUACCAGGAAUGUAAACUUGGGGGCUAGAAAGAUAGCUUAGAAGUAAAUGGCAUUUACUGUUCCUGCAGAUAAACCCACCUUCAUUCUCUCUACAAACAUGGCAGCUCAAUACUGCACCUGGUUCCUGUGCUGAACAUUUGGUACAGUCUUUAGGACUCCACAGCCAUCAUGUAGGCAUGCAGUGGUCAGAAAAAUAUGUGAUGAACACUCACAAACUUAAAUGAAAAUAUUUUUAUAGGAAGAAGUUGAAACCUAUUGAUUACAACUAUUUUUCAAAGUUGUAAUAUUUAUAGCUUGGGGAGCAUAUGAUGGGGGCUGAGGUUCAGGAUGAGUCUAUUUAAUUCUUUAUUUCCAUAAGAUGCUCAAUCAUGUCAGCUAUAGAGUCAUUUAUCUGCAUGCCUUCUUUCAUAAGCCUGGCUCUGGAAAACUGAUCAUCAUUAAAAUGAAAUCUAUGUGGUAUAUGAGACUUACCAUCUGCACAAAUAUAUAAAGUCACAAUUACAUCCUGUGUAGGAACUGGCCAUCAAGAUAUUUCUUGAUCAUCAUUUACAAUGGAAUCUCUUUCAAAAUUGUAGGUCUUAACUCCAUGAAAAAUAUCUGUUCUCUCAGAAAUAACCUAGGAAGGCUACAAUGGGACAAGGCAGUGUUAUGUGGAUCAAAUAUUUAAAGACCUGACAAUCAGAGAAGGAAAAAAGUCAUAGGAAAUAAACAGUUUAGAUGAUACGGUGAUUGGAAUAGGAAUGGCCCCCACAGGUUCUCCUUGGUCAUCAGGGAGUGGCACUAUUAAAAGUUGUGGCCUUGUUGGGGAAAGUGUGUCAAUGGAGGUGUGCUAUGAGGUUUUCAGAAGUUUAAGCCAGGUCCAGUGUCUCUCUCUUCCUGACAAUCCAGAUGUGAAACUCUUAAGUACUUCUCUAACGCUAUGUGUGCUGGUGUACAAUAGCAUGUUUCCCACCAUGAUGAUAAUGAACAUAACCUCAUAACCUAUAAGCCAACCCUAAUGAAACAUUUUCCAUUAUAAGAGUUGCCAUGGUUGGAAUGUCUCUUCACAGCAAUAGAAAAUGUGACUAAGAAAGGACAUUAUCAAAGGAAGAAAAUAAAUGUUUGCAUUGUUUCAAUAACAAAAACGAUUUUCAAAGAAAUGUGGACGCAACACUGACCUGUGGUGCAUUUACAGAGAAAACACCUAUUCUUCCUGUUUCCCUUUCAGGAACAAAGGCCAAAACUCGUUUUGACAUUCCACAUCAAGAUACUAAAACUACAAAGCUAAACAUCAUUGAACUAUGUUAGGGACAUUGUCAAACCAUAUAAAGAGAACUGAAACCUAAAAUGAUAUGAAAUUGUCUUAUCAACAUUCCUAUAAACAUGAAAGCAUGAGAAGAUAACUAUGAACAUUGUCAUUAUACCAAAAAUUUGGAACUUAAAAUUCAUGGAGCAUGAAGUUCACUUGAAGAAAGUUAUGAAAUAACAAGGGUCAUGCUUAAAAUUCAUGGAGCAUAAGUUCACUUGAAGAAUGUUAUGAAAUAACAAGGGUCAUGUAUUCAAGUAGCAUUCCAGAUUAUAAUUAGAAGCAAAUAGUAUCUCAAAACAAACAAACAAACAAACAAAACCAGAGCAAGUCUAUCAAUGAGAACACGGGAAGUACAACAUUUUACAUUAAAAAAUAGAUGAAUAAAGGAGAGUUGAGUGGUAGCAUACCAUGUGCAACACUCCAAAACAGGAAAACACUAUUUCAAUCUGGAGGAGGAAAAACAAUACUACUGGUAGUUAACCAUCCAGAUCAUUAAUUUAAACAAAACACAGAACAACAACAACAACAAGAGUGUUACAUGAUAUGGAAAUCACACAACUAAUGGAAAUAUCAUAAGAUAAAGUUCAACAAGGUUUUGUGCUAAACUCCUAAAGGGAGCAGGAAAAAAAGGAAUAUGACUUAAGAGAGUAAAGGGUAUAUAUGCCACACCAAGACCAACAGUCCUGUGCAUAGAAAAAAAAGAACAGCAUCAGAAGGAACACUGAAAGGAGAAGAUGCUUGUACUCUCCUGUCUUACUGAGCCCACUAGCAUAAGUGUGGACUAGAGAAAUCUGAAUAAGACAAAGGAUGAAAAGAAGAAAAAAGUAGAAAAGCAAGAUUUCAAUCUCUUUUAAAGAUGAUGUAGUCAUACACAAAACACCAUAGAGAUACCAUGGAAAAAAGUCCUAGACCUUAUAAGUACUUUAAAUACUACUGAAAAACACAAAAUACUGUAAUCAAGGGUUUUAUCAAAAUUUUAAAAAAUACAGUGCAAAUGAUCAAGAAGCCAAUGGACUGAACUCAAAAGCAGUUAAAACAGCCAACUAUUCAUACUACAUGUUCCACAUGGUUAGUCAUAAACAAAAUGCUCAUCCAAUGUAUACUGAGAUCUCUUCUCUUCCUAGUCAGUGUCCACACUCAAGGUUCUAAACAAUAACAAACACUGGAGACAAUGCAAUGGAAGAACAGAGACAGCAUCAGUGGAAUCCAACUCACUUUAAACACCAGUCAAGAAAGUGUGCAGCUUCCUGAACAACCAAAUACAGUAAAGAGAACACCUAGGGAAAAUUGUGAUGAUGUUCAUAAAAAAAUUAAAUAUACUGCAAAAUAACUAUGAAAUAGAAACUCACUAAGAGAAAAAGAAACAAAAAUUGGCGAAAUGGUGUGAAAUUAUUUAUCUUUCUGUUGAUUUCUUAUGGUAGCCUCAUGGCCUAUUUUACUUGAGAAAUUCCAUUCUAAAAGUCUUUCAAAAAUAUUCCAUUUGAAUCUUUCAUAAAUUCUUUAAACACUGCUACUAUUAUAGACAUACCAGAAAAUUAAUCAUGAAAUAUAACUGAAGAAACUGAAGAAAUGGUUAACCAAUAACUAGCCCAACUUGAAACCUAUCCCACGGGCAAGCACCAAUAUUUGUCAUUACUAAUGAUAUUAUCUUAUACUUGUAGACAGGAUCCUAGCACUACUGUUUGCUGACAGGCUCUACACAGCAGCUGACAGAAACAGAUGCAGUUACCCAUAGCCAAACAUUGGACAGAGCUCAGAGACUCUUAUGGGAGUGUUGGGGGAAGGAUUGAAGGUACUGAAGGGGAUGGGAACCCCAGAGGAUGACCUUACACAGUCAACUAAUCUGGACCUUUGGGAGCUCUCAAAGACUGAGCCCCCAACCAAAGAAUAUACUCAGGCUAGAAUGAGACACACAACACAUACAUAGCAGACAUGCAGCUCAAGUUCUAUGUGGGCCCCCAAACAACUGGAACAGAGGCUGUCCCUAAAGCUGUAGCCUGACUGUGGUAUCCAUUCCCCAACAAAGUUGCCUAGUCUGGCCUCUGUGGGAGAGUAUAUGCCUAAUACGGCAGAGACUUAAUGCAAAAGAUUUGGGGGAUACUCAGGAGGACCCACAUUCUCAGUAGAGAAGCAGGGAAGGUCUCUGUGAGUGGGGAUAAGGAGGGGGACAGUGGUUGGUCAGUAAAUAAAUGAAGAAAUCUAAAUUAAAAAAAAAACAUUUUCACCGUAAUUUCAAGCAUGAGUCCAUACAAAUCAAGAAACCAUGAAAUUUAAAAGAUAUAACAUAUGAACAAACAAUGUGAACAUGUUCAUGUACAGUUUAGAAAUCCCCAAGAGUGUGCUUGAUGAUCAUUUUGAAAUACUGAGAAAAAUUGGGUAUUUAUUUCAACUCCAAACCACUAUUUUAGAAAAUUGACAAUACAAAUUGUGAAUCUCAGGAAUUUAGGCAUGGUUCAAAACAUUAACAAUUACUAUGCAAAUUUUAUUUCCUUAUCAACAUUUAAUCUGAGAUGUAUGUGCUCUAAAACUAUAUUCAUAAAUGUGUCUUCACCUGCUGAGUUCUUAUGUUACACCAGAGAAUGUAGCAAAAAUAAUUUGAUGUCCAGUUUCCACUGUCACUUGAACCCCAUACCACUCAUGCCUCAAUGACUUGGCUACUGGCUCUUCUCUCUUCAUCUUCCAGGGUUUGUUUUAAUGCUCCAUGGUGAGCAGAUCUGGAAGAACAGAAUGAGAAUGGCUGAUAGGGAGGACAUGCUACAGCAAACACAUGUAUUCUAACACAGUGCUGUGCUCAGUAGAUAAGGAGAAAACAAAGAAUUCUAGAAAUAAUAUCCUAGCACUCAAAUAGUUUAUACUCAUACUUAGCAUUUUAGCUUGGGUAAUUUAAGGCCCACUUCUAAACAAACUCACCCAAUACUGAAGGGCAUAAAGAAACGGUAGGAUCAUGGUGAAAAUUCUGUACCCUACUCACUGUCUGAAUUAAUCAUGAAGCAAAAUGAAAGGAGCCUAACUCUUCCCAAAAGGACAUACGUGAAGAAGAGAGGACUCUUCAUUAAAAUGUUUUCUGUCCUUUGAGAAUUUCACUGUAUUCUAUGACAUCUGAACCUUCUUCAUACAUAGCUUACAUACAUCCCAGUAGCUUGAAAGUCAAUUCUGACAGUGAAUAUCAAGUUGGGCCUGGUGACUCAGGCUUUUAAUCCCUGCACUCUGGAUGCAGAGGUGGGCUAACUCUGCACAUUCAAGGCCGGCAUAGUCUACAUAGUGAGUUCCAGCACAGGCAGGGCUGUGUAAAGAAACCCUGCAUCAAAAAAUAAAACAUAAGGAAAACAUGUAAAUGACCAAUAUAAUGUGCAUACAUCACAGAUGGAAAACUAAUGGUUGUAGUCUCCCCUCCCCCAGCCUGAAACCUGCUUGCUCAGGGGUGGAGCUUCCCGCUCAAUCGUUCUGCCAUGUCCACUGCUGGAACCUGCCGCUUUGCUGUUCAGAGCCGUGCACGUGGUCACCCUGUUAUUGGACCCCAAGACUA